rnacentral:rRNA from 1 species
GAUGAAAAGUGGGCUUAAAGAAGCCAUCUUUUUAGAGUGGGUUAAUCCUCAGUAUUUCUAGUUAAUGAUCAAAUGAAGUUCCUUUUGUUCAACAAAACUUCUUCACGAAACUAAGGGGUGAAGGUAAUAAUGUAAAGAUGAGUAGCUCAGUUUUUGGGGUUUAUUUGGUUCAGGAAAUUAAACGCUAAGUGAACGAUGAUGAUAAGCAAAGCUAAAGGAACUCGGCAACAACGAAAACCGCCUGUUUAGCAAAAACAUGGCUCCUUGAAAUCAUAAGGAGUCGUGCCUUCCCGGUGAGUUUAAACUUAAACGGAUGCGGUAAAGCGUGCUAAGGUAGCUAAGUUAUGGCCUAGUUAAUUGUAGGCCCUGUGAAUGGUUUGACGAGUUUUCUUCUGUCUCUAGCUUGUUUUAGUGAACUUGAAUUGGAUGUGCAAAUGCUUCCUUGCGAAAGAAAGACGAGAAGACCCCGUGAAGUUAGAAAUCUAUGUGCGUGGAGGUAAAAGGUUACUUCCCUUAGCUUAUGGUUUUGG